rnacentral:rRNA from 1 species
ACGAGUUUCCGGGCUUGCUCGGAAAUUAGUGGCGAACGGCUGAGUAACGCGUAGGUGACCUACCCCGUAGUGAGGAAUAACUGCCCGAAAGGGUAGCUAAUACCUCAUGUUGAGACGCUUUCAUUAGCGUCUCCAAAGCAGCAAUGCGCUAUGGGCGGGGCCUGCGUUCGAUUAGCUAGUUGGUGAGGUAAUGGCUCACCAAGGCGACGAUCGAUAGGUGGUCUGAGAGGACGAUCACCCAGACUGGGACUGAGACACGGCCCAGACUCCUACGGGAGGCAGCAGUCGGGAAUUUUGCGCAAUGGGGGAAACCCUGACGCAGCAAUACCGCGUGUGGGAUGAAGGCCUUCGGGUCGUAAACCACUUUUCUCGGGGACGAUAAUGACGGUACCCGAGGAAUAAGCCACGGCUAACUACGUGCCAGCAGCCGCGGUAAUACGUAGGUGGCAAGCGUUGUCCGGAUUUACUGGGCGUAAAGCGCGCGCAGGCGGUGAAUGAAGUCGAAAGUGAAAGCCCCGGGCUCAACUCGGGAACAGCUUUCGAAACCAGUUCACUUGAAGGUGGAAGAGGGAAGUGGAAUUCCGAGUGUAGCGGUGGAAUGCGCAGAUAUUCGGAGGAACACCAGAGGCGAAGGCGACUUCCUGGUCCAAUCUUGACGCUGAGGCGCGAAAGCUAGGGGAGCAAACAGGAUUAGAUAUCCUGGUAGUCCUAGCUGUAAACGAUGGAUACUAGGUGUUGGAGGUUUUAACCCCUCCGG